CCUACGGGAGGCAGCAGUGGGGAAUAUUGCACAAUGGGGGAAACCCUGAUGCAGCGACGCCGCGUGAGUGAAGAAGUAUUUCGGUAUGUAAAGCUCUAUCAGCAGGGAAGAAAAUGACGGUACCUGAUUAAGAAGCCCCGGCUAACUACGUGCCAGCAGCCGCGGUAAUACGUAGGGGGCACGCGUUAUCCGGAUUUACUGGGUGUAAAGGGAGCGUAGACGGCAGCACAAGUCUGGAGUGAAAUGCCGGGGCUUAACCUCGGGACGGCUUUGGAAACUGUGCAGCUAGAGUGCCGGAGAGGAUAGUGGAAUUCCUAGUGUAGGGGUGAAAUGCGUAGAUAUUAGGAGGAACAUCAGUGGCGAAGGCGGCUUUCUGGCACAUAACGGACGCUGAGGCGCGAAAGCGUGGGGAGCAAACAGGAUUAGAUACCCGAGUAGUC
rnacentral:rRNA from 1 species